GAAUCCAUCUGGACAUAGGAGAACACGACUUGAAAUACACCCAAAAAUUUAUAAUACGUGAUCAGAGCCUAAUUUUGAACCCAAAAAACUUGAUACGCGAAAGAAACGAUAUAUACCCAAACUGGCAUCCGAACACCCAUGAUUAACUAUUUCUUUAAGAAAAUAAAAAAAUUAUUUGUUAACCUUUUUGAAUUUUUGUCACAAAUGAAAUAAUUUUAUUCAAACAUGUCAAAUUAUUAUGGUUGACAUGUAAACUAAAUGUUAUCAAAAUAUUAUGAUAAAGACAAUUAAUGAAAUAGUUAAGAAAAGUGGAAAUAAAUGUAAAAUAUGUAAUAAACACUUUAAAUAAGUAAGUUUUGAUUCAUAAUGUAUGAUAAAUUUUUCAAAUUAAUUAGAAAAGAUAACAAAAGAAGUGUUAAAGUUAGUUUUUUAAAAUGAAAACCGUAAAAAACCAUUUAAAAUAAUCAAGUAUUAUUUUAUACUUCGAUUUUAAUAUAAUAGAUAGAGCAUUUGCAUUGUAUACACAAACAAUAUUUCCUAAUUAGUGAUCUACCAUUCGACACUAUUACGAACUAUGUUUAAAAUCUAAUGACGCUAAUACUCCUAUCCCCUACAUGUAUCAUCCCACAACCAUCAUCUUUUUCAUCACCUCUAGACUCCUUCGAACCCACCGUCUCUCCAUUCCUCUCCACUUCUUUUUCCUCCGCACUCGCCUCCGGAUGGCACUCGCUUCCGGAUCCUCUGCCUCCACCGUCGAGCGUCUCCACCAAGCGAUCCGCCUCCUCGAUGCCCAGCUCCGCCACGACGUUGUCUCUCGCCACCCCAAGCUCCUCUCCCAGCUUUCUUCUCUCUCCGACGUGGAUAUUUUUCUUUCCUCCUUCCGUUUAACCGUCUUCUCUCUUUACUCACAAGUUGUGUUUUUUUUUAAUGUUUUUUGGACGAAGCUUU
rnacentral:lncRNA from 1 species